rnacentral:rRNA from 1 species
GCGUAGGGUAAGUAGGUUGUGAAAAUAUGAGAAAAUAAAAUACUAGAUGAUCAUCUUUUAAGUUUUCUUAAAUUUUCACUGAAUCUUAGACGGGACGAUGGUAUUUUUAGGGAGUGGUUAAAUAUGAGAUAUAAAAAGGACGACAGUGGUGAAAGCAAUUUUCUUGUCAAGUAUUGAGCUAAUAUACGAAGGCAGGGGAGCAAAGAGGAUUAGACACCCUCGUAGUCCGUGUGUCAACGCUGAGUUUUCAAUGUAGGAACGUUUUUUUAUUAAUAAUUUUUAAACAUACAUUCUUGGUGUUUGAGUAACGCAUUAAAUUCUCCGCUGGGAAGUACGGCCGCAGGUUGAAACUCAAAAGAAUUGAGGUGACUUGUACAAGG